GACUGUAUGACCCAGCCUUGACAUACAAAGAAAGAGGUUACAAACCCAUGAUGCUCUGGUGCCGCGGGUGCUGACAGUCGCAGGCGCACCAUCUCUGACGUCACACAUGCCAGAAUAAUCGGUACUGCUGACGACGGUUGUGAAGAAAAAGACGUCGAGUUGCGCAAAGAUAGCGAGACGGACAGCAACCUAGAGUCCGACACGCAGUCUACGGCUGCUGACGAGUGCGCAGAGAAAGAAAUAGACUGGUGAGCGUGGACGAAACCGACGACGCAAAGUUAGAUGAUGUUGAAAACGCGAAAGAGCAGAUGAUAGCCGUGAACUGUGAGGAUGCAGACGAGGAAAAGUUCGUUCAGGGAGAGCAGCGACCCCUCGCCAAAGACACAACGUUAGAAAACGACGAAUCGGACGGAGAGGACAGGAGGAAAUCAGUGGCGUGAUGGAACUAAAAGACGAUGACGACGACAGAGUAGCUGAAUAUGAAGACAAAGGCAUUUUGGGGUGAAGUGGUUUAAUGUGUAGAAUUAGACACUUGUUUCCACCGCCCAUCGAUGUUUUCACUCAUCCCAACUCUCUCCACGACAUGGUAAUGAGGUCACAACUCCCCCACGACAUGGUAAUGAGGUCACAACUCUCCCCACAUGGUAAUGAGGUCACAGAGUUUAGUUGCUGUUUGUAGAAGUCCGUCGACUUCCUCAGCAUGUUUACCGUUCUUUGUUUUUGUGCACCUGUCCACGCAGUGGCUUUAAAUGGUUUUCCACUUAGCAGCGUGGCGUUUGAUCUGUCUGUGAUGACUGAAGUUAUAUAUUAACCGUCAGAUUCAUUUUCUGUUCUUUCCAGUUGUCACGCAGUAUGGCAGAAUAAGCCUAAUGAGCUGCGCCUUGUGUACAUUGCCUUUUUAUGCAUGAUGUUUUGGCUUCUAUAUUGUCGCUGUUUUAAAAAACUUUGUCCCACGUGAUUUUGGCCUGUUUCUGACCUCGCUUGCAUACGUACAGAGACAGAGAGGAAUCGUCCACUCUCACUUCACGUGUGUAUGAAGUAAAAGGGGAGGAGCUUGAUGACGUUGAGGAAAAACGAAGGGAGCCACAGCUAGGGGGUAGUGAUUCUGCACUUCCACUCCUCGAGACCCAACUACCCAAGGGAUGCCUUUUUGUCUGUUUUACGACUUGACAGUAUAACAUUUUUUUUUUGUUGCUUGCAUAUGUAUAAGAUAAAUUAUGAUUAUGAAGGGAGGCAAAGCCAGGAGGGAGUGAUUCUGCCCCACCAAGGAGAGGGAGGAGGUUGAAUGAAAAAUAAUGGGGAAACAAAAGAUUUUUCUCAUUAAUGGCGAGCUUUACAGCAAGGCUUCCAGAGGACAUUCUUAGAGAUCUCUUUCUGGAAGUACAUGAAUUAAGCCACACAAAAAAAACUAAUGAUCGAACACUUGUUUAGACACUUACAAGCUAUAACCGAGGAUUUGCCUGAAGAAGUGGCGAUGAUUUAAAAAAAAAAAAACACAGAUGAAAGAGCGUGAAUAACGAGAGUGAGUAAGGAAAGUUUUUAGAAUGCAUGUAUGGAUAACAUAAAUUAUUUGCUGUUCACCUAUUCUUUCUUCACUUAUCGAUACCAACACAACCAGGUACGGAGUGUAAGAAGUCUUUUUGCGUGGUUUUUUUUUUUCAGCAAUUGAAACAUCAAGAGGCGUAUCCCGCCACCGCAGAAAAAAGCUUGCCAUAGCGCACAUAACGGGAUUUAUACAAACCGUGGCUGAAGGUCUGAUGUUGGAAGACAUCGUUCCUUUAAGUGCAAUCCUAAUUAAUGAUAUCAACAGCUUCAUAAAUGCUGGAAAGGUAAACCAUCAUAAAGCCAGUAACUAAGGCUCUAAGGUCAUAGAGGAACAAGUUUUGUAAAUAGUUGAAGCAUUUGUGACAGUUUUAUUUUGUUAGUCUUAUUUUCUACUGUACUUGUCUUCCAUAAAUCAUUGGUGUGUUAUAUGGGUGUUCUUAUACCAGUAGGUUGAAAUAUGCACAUGUAUAAUGUCUUUUUUUA
rnacentral:lncRNA from 1 species